GAUCCAAUUUCAGAGGAAGCUUCUCACGGCUGCUCCUAUCAAACUCCACGCUGCCUGGCUGAGCCUGCCCCGUUUCUCCUCCCAGGCCCAGGUGAGAGGAAGAUGAAGGUCCUGCUGGUGCUGACGAUGCUGUUUGCCUGCAGUAAGUGCAUCCCCGACCCACAGACGGGAGCCAGGCUCAUCCCCAAACUCCUGUGCACUCCUCAGGGGGACUCCCAGCAAAGCCUCCUUCCCUCCCCAGUUCUCCAGGCCUCACAACUCAUAACAGGCAUAUAACUCAUAAAAAAACAAAUCACAUUUUACGGUCACUCUAGGUGUGUUCUCGGCGCACGGGAAGCACCCACGCCCGUUCACACCGGGACUCGAGGGAAGCACCGUGGGAAACCUGACUGCGCAUGGAUGCUACAGGGGAUGGGGCACCUCGAGGGCUUCGGUGGAUCGGUGCUGCCUGCUCCGAGCCUGCUGCUAUGCCCGGCUGGCAGCGCGGCGCUGCCCAGCGGGACCGGCCCAGCCGCUGUCUGCGCCCCGGGCAGGGAUCCCCGCCUGCAGUGAGUGCUCGGGACGCCCCUUCCCGCACCAUGCCCCGUCCGCGGCCCCUGUCCCGGGCUGCUCCGAGCUCCCAGCCCGCUGUCGGUGCCCGCAGGUUCGGGGACGCGCUGCCAGCGAGGCGCCUGCAGGUGCGAGAGGGCGAUGCUGCUGUGCCGGGCUCGCCUGGGCCGGGCUCAGCUCCGCCGCCGCGCCGGGUGCCGGGGACGAGCCGGGCGCUGCUGAACCGAGAACUCCCAGUGCGGAACCAUCUCCGGGCUGAUCGGCGAAGGGAUGGAGCCGGCAGCGCCUCCCAGCCCUGCCGAGUCUCCCUCUCGGGGCCUUUGGGCUUCCAGGCCAGGACAGGAGUCCUCCGGGGCAGCCGCAUGCGAGGAGAGGCAGCGGCGCUCCCCGAGGUGCAGCACGGCAAAACAAGGGAGGAGGGGACCCCUGGCCCUGUCCCGGGAUGGGGAGCGUCCCCCGGGCAGCCUGUCCGCUCCCUCUGCUUCUGCUUCUCAGCAAAUUCCCUCCUGUUGCUCCAAAAUAAAAGCAGAGAGCCCAAAGCAGCGGUUCGCAGCGUGCAGUGACUCGGCUGAGCCCAGCGA
rnacentral:lncRNA from 1 species